GUUUGAAUCCUGGCUCAGGAYGAACGCUGGCGGCAUGCCUAAUACAUGCAAGUCGAACGGAGGUGCUUGCACCUCAGUGGCGAACGGGUGAGUAACACGUAUCUAAUCUACCUUCUAGCGGGGGAUAACUUUUGGAAACGAAAGGUAAUACCGCAUGUGGAUGUUAUUAUCGCAUGAGAAAACAUUCAAAGAUCCGUUUGGAUCACUAGAAGAUGAGGAUGCGGCGUAUUAGCUAGUAGGCGGGGUAAAGGCCCACCUAGGCGAUGAUACGUAGCCGAACUGAGAGGUUGAUCGGCCACAUUGGGACUGAGAUACGGCCCAGACUCCUACGGGAGGCAGCAGUAGGGAAUUUUUCACAAUGGACGAAAGUCUGAUGAAGCAAUGCCGCGUGAGUGAUGACGGCCUUCGGGUUGUAAAGCUCUGUUGUAAGGGAAGAAAACAUAGGAGAGGAAAUGCUCUUAUCUUGACGGUACCUUACCAGAAAGCCACGGCUAACUAUGUGCCAGCAGCCGCGGUAAUACAUAGGUGGCAAGCGUUAUCCGGAUUUAUUGGGCGUAUAGGGUGCGUAGGCGGUUUCGCAAGUUUGAGGUUAAAGCCCGGAGCUCAACUCCGGUUCGCCUUGAAAACUGCGGGACUAGAAUAUCAGAGAGGUAAGCGGAAUUCCAUGUGUAGCGGUAAAAUGCGUAGAUAUAUGGAAGAACACCAGUGGCGAAAGCGGCUUACUGGCUGAUUAUUGACGCUGAGGCACGAAAGCGUGGGGAGCAAAUAGGAUUAGAUACCCUAGUAGUCCACGCCGUAAACGUUGAGUACUAAGUAUUGGGGAUUACCUCAGUGCUGCAGCUAACGCAUUAAGUACUCCGCCUGAGUAGUAUGCUCGCAAGAGUGAAACUCAAAGGAAUUGACGGGGACCCGCACAAGUGGUGGAGCAUGUGGUUUAAUUCGAAGCAACACGAAGAACCUUACCAGGGCUUGACAUACAGUGCAAAGCUACAGAGAUGUAGUGGAGGUUAACAUUGAUACAGGUGGUGCAUGGUUGUCGUCAGUUCGUGCCGUGAGGUGUUGGGUUAAGUCCCGCAACGAACGCAACCCUUGUCGUUAGUUACUAACAUUAAGUUGAGGACUCUAACGAGACUGCUAGUGUAAGCUAGAGGAAGGUGGGGAUGACGUCAAAUCAUCAUGCCCCUUAUGUCCUGGGCUACACACGUGCUACAAUGGCCGAUACAAAGAGUCGCAAUCUCGCGAGGGGGAGCUAAUCUCAAAAAGUCGGUCUCAGUUCGGAUUGAAGUCUGCAACUCGACUUCAUGAAGCCGGAAUCACUAGUAAUCGCGAAUCAGCUAUGUCGCGGUGAAUACGUUCUCGGGUCUUGUACACACCGCCCGUCAAACCACGAGAGUUGGUAAUACCAGAAGUACGUUUCCUAACCGUAAGGAAGGCGCGUCCCAAGGUAGGACUAGCGAUUGGGGUUAAGUCGUAACAAGGUAUCCGUACGGGAACGUGCGGAUGGAUCACCUCCUUUC
rnacentral:rRNA from 1 species